CUAGAUGGCUGGAUGAUCGCUAUAUAUUAGAGGAAAGUCCGGGCUCCACAGAGGAACAGUGCCGGAUAACAUCCGGCGGGGGUGACCCUAGGGAAAGUGCAACAGAAAAUAUACCGCCAUGAUCUCAUGGUAAGGGUGAAAUGGUGUGGUAAGAGCGCACCGCAUUGGUGGUAACAUCAUUGGCAGUGUAAACCCCACUGGGAGCAAGACCAAAUAGAGAUGGAAAUAUGUCCUCUGCAUUCUGCCAUCUGGGUAGGUCGCUAGACUCAAUGAGUAAUCAUAGAGCGAGAUGAAUGAUCAUCGUCAAAUUGACACAGAACCCGGCUUAUAGGCCAUCUAGCAUU
rnacentral:RNase_P_RNA from 1 species